CAUACACACAGACAGACAUUAAAACAUUCACAGAUACAUACUGACACACAUAUACACUGACACACAAAUAUAUCCUGGCAGACAUACUGACACGCACGUACACACACACACACACACACACAGACAUACCUACAUACACACACACAGACAUACCUACAUACACACACACACACACACUGACAUACACACACAGACAUACUGGCAUACACACAGACAUACUGACACACACACACACACACACACACACAGACAUACUGGCAUACACACAGACAUACUGACACACACACAAACACACAGACACACUGACACACACACACAGACAUACUGGCAUACACACAGACAUACACACACACACAGACCUACUGACAUACAUUUAGCCACCCUCCAGGUUCUUACCUUUUCCUGGAGGGUGGUUUCCCUGGUCCAGUGGCAGGCUGAGGCAGAUGGGAGUUCUCCUCUGGAACUCCCCUCCUCCCUGCCUUCC